CUCGGAUCAGGUAGGGAU
rnacentral:rRNA from 1 species